GCAAGAAAUUAUCAGAACUGAUAUCCUUGAAUACCUUAGCCAGGUCAAGAUCUCCUGUUUAAGUGAUGACUCUCCUCAAAAGAUAAAUAAUGAAAGCAAGUGGCUGCAAGAACACUGACCUGGACUACAAGCUGUGCCUCUGAUCCCUCCUGCCAGCCCGAGAUGCCUCAGCAGACCAGGGCCAGGAGUUCUUGUCCAGCACUACUUCUAAUGAACGACUUCUAAAGGAUUAAAACUGCCAGUCUACAGCAUUUUAGAGGUCUCUUGUCUGGCUUUUAAGAAGAGGCUGACUUGGACAGCAUCAGAAGAAAUCAAACUUUUCACUCCUUCCUGCUUUCAAUACAUUUUUCUUUCACUGUCAGCAUGCAAAGUGAUUGAUACAUGAGACAUUGUGCAAUAUAUGCACAAAAUAUUUUCUUCUAAAGUGAAACCACUGUGUGGGUAUCAGGUAACUCUUUUUACAUUCUAAUGGCAUUGAUGAUCAUUACAAAUGUGCCAAUCCUAUAAAAUCUAAUCCCAUGACUGCUGAGACAAUUAGUUUCAUAUGCUGUAUCAAGAAUCAUAAUUUGCUUUAUUCUAUCAUUUAUAACAUUAAAGUGAAGAACUAAUAAUAAAAGCAAACUGCAUGAUUUUCUUCUACAUUUUAUUCUGUUUAUCGCUCAGGCACAUUUCACAGCAAGACAUAACUAACUAGUCAAUUUUUUUAAUAUCUCACCCUAAAAUGGCAUCUGAUCAGUUUUAUCAAAAAAAAAGCAAAUAAUUUUUUCUAUUUUGUCCAUAGAAAAAAACACACAUUCAUUAUAUGUAAAGGAGUCAGGCAGCUCCAUCUUUACAAUGCAACAACUAAAAUCUUGUAGAGAACAAUAUGGACAGUAUAGGGAUAAUAAAAGCAGCAGAAUUGAUGUAGUGUGUAAAUGAAAACCUAGAAGCUGUUCAAGUUAAAGAAAUAAUCAUUAAUUUCAGUUUUUCUGUUCAUUCAGUUUGUUGUUUAAAACACAGUUGUGCUAUUGACUGUGCUACA